UCUAUUAUGAUCCCUGUGGCUCAGAGCACUAAGCUGUAGACUCCUGUACUAUAGGGUCCAGGUUCGAACCCUGACAGUAGAA